UACAGAGGGUGCGAGCGUUAAUCGGAGUUACUGGGCGUAAAGGGCGCGUAGGCGGUUAUAUAAGUGAGAUGUGAAAUCCCUGGGCUUAACCUAGGAACUGCAUCUCAUACUGUAUGACUGGAGUAUUGUAGAGGGUAGUGGAAUUUCCGGUGUAGCGGUGAAAUGCGUAGAGAUCGGAAGGAACACCAGUGGCGAAGGGCGGCUACCUGGACAAAUACUGACGCUGAGGCGCGGAGAGCGUGGGGGAGCAAACAGG
rnacentral:rRNA from 1 species